rnacentral:rRNA from 1 species
AGGAAAAACUGAAAGACGGUUUACGCUGUCACUUACAGAUGGGCCCGCGGCGCAUUAGCUAGUUGGUGAGGUAACGGCUCACCAAGGCAACGAUGCGUAGCCGACCUGAGAGGGUGAUCGGCCACACUGGGACUGAGACACGGCCCAGACUCCUACGGGAGGCAGCAGUAGGGAAUCUUCCGCAAUGGACGAAAGUCUGACGGAGCAACGCCGC